UGGCCCAAAGUUACCCAGCUGGCUUUCAUGACUAAGGCAGGACCAGAACUCCCUGCCUCCUGGUGAUUGGUCUAUCAGCCAGCCUGCUUUCAUCGCUAAGGCAGGAUUUGAACUCAUGAUUUCCCGCUUUCUCACCAUUUGCUCUUCCUUGCUUCCCUCACAGAAUGCUUUAAUUUGUAUUUCCUGUCCUAGAAGCUCUAGAUGUUCCUUUCUGGAUUUCUGAGUGAAUCUAGUCAUCUUAUGUGGAGACAGCUCUACUUGCAAUCCUUGUGUGCAGAAUCUUCUGUGGGGAAAGAGCCUUCAAUCCCCUGAUCAUGAGGAGCCUUUGAGCAGAGAGGGUGAGAGAGUCAGCGUCAUCCCAGAAACAGAGAGUGACUCCAAACAACAUCUCCAAGGCUCUCGUGACAUCAAUCAAGCUGACUCAGAAAUUGCCAAAAUAAUAUCAAACGAUGGAGAAGGUGGGAGGUUGUGCUAGAGGUAAAAGAAAAACAGCCUCCUUCCGUGGGAACAGGGCGUUCGAAAGGGCUGGUGGAUCCCUGGACCUUGGGAUGAAUUGCAUGGGCAGGCCUUAAAAUAAACAGGGAGGUUAUGGUA